rnacentral:rRNA from 1 species
GAUGAACGCUGGCGGCGUGCCUAAUACAUGCAAGUCGAGCGAACGGACGAUAAGCUUGCGUCUCUGAUGUUAGCGGCGGACGGGUGAGUAACACGUGGAUAACCUACUUAUAAGACUGGGAUAACUUCGGGAAACCGUAGCUAAUACCGGAUAAUAUUUUGAACCGCAUGGUUCAAAAGUGAAAGACGGUCUUGCUGUUACUUAUAGAUGGAUCCGCGCUGCAUUAGCUAGUUGGUAAGGUAACGGCUUACCAAGGCAACGAUGCAUAGCCGACCUGAGAGGAUGAUCAGCCACACUGGAACUGAGACACGGUCCAGACUCCUACGGGAGGCAGCAGUAGGGAAUCUUCCGCAAUGGGCGCAAGCCUGACGCAGCAAUGCCGCGUGAGUGAUGAAGGUCUUCGGAUCGUAAAACUCUGUUAUUAGGAAAGAACAUAUGCGUAAGUAACUGUGGACGUCUUGACGGUACCUAAUCAGAAAGCCACGGCUAACUACGUG